AUUGAACGCUGGCGGCAGGCCUAACACAUGCAAGUCGAGCGAGCGGCGGACGGGUGAGUAAUGUAUGGGGACUGCCCGAUAGAGGGGGAUAACUACUGGAAACGGUGGCUAAUACCGCAUACUAUCGGAUCACCCAUAUGGGAUUAGCUAGUAGGUGGGGUAAAGGCUCACCUAGGCGACGAUCUCUAGCUGGUCUGAGAGGAUGAUAAGCGACACUGGGACGGAGACGAGGCACGGAUAAAAAGGGAGGGAGGAGGGGGGAAGAUUGGACAAUGGGAGAAAGCCUGAUGAAGCCAUGAAGUGUGUAUGAAGAAGGCCUCAGGGUUGUAAAGUACUUUCAGCGAGGAGGCGUUACCAGGAGAAGAAGCACCGGCAAACUCAGGGCCAGCAGCCGCGGUAAUAC
rnacentral:rRNA from 1 species